UCUCUCUCUCUCUCUCUCGCGCUCUCGCUCUCUGUAUAUAGUAUAAUAUAUAUCUAAAGACAUAUAAAAAUGGCGGAUCCAGAGAACCUGUCCUACGCAGAACACAUCAAGAAGCGCCACCAUGAGAAGGGCUGGCUCUAUGCUUGCUUUUUCACCUUGUAAUGCUGCUUCUGCUGCUACGAGGCCUGCGAGUGUUGCCUCGACUGCCUCUGCUGUUGCUGCAAAUCAGAGUAAAUUCUCUUGUGAGUUUGCGGAGUGUCGAGGUUUUCAUGCAUCUUGAUUCUAUCGGAUUUAUGUGAGCGCAAAAAGUGUUGUAUGCGAAAAUAAUGGCGUGGUUGUGACCGAGCGCAUGUUCCUCUGUCCACCUUGUGUAAGACGUGAGAGAAUGCUUGUGAACUCUGCUUGAGUUCCUGGUUUUCAUGCGUGUGCAAGUAUAAACUAUGUAUUUAUAAAUUGUUUUGUUUGUUGCUAAUAAAGUGUUGAAAAACCUUGUUCCCAUGAUGCUA